rnacentral:rRNA from 1 species
AGAGAGAGACAUGCGCGCAUAUCAAUAAGCGGAGGAAAAGAAACUAACAAGGACUCCCCUAGUAACGGCGAGUGAAGCGGGAAGAGCUCAAAUUUGAAAUCUUAAAGGGUUUCCCUUUACGAAUUGUAGUUUAAAGAAGUGUUUUCUGUUGAGGUUUUGGUAAAAGUUCUUUGGAAUAGGACAUCAUAGAGGGUGAGAAUCCCGUAUUUGACCUUUACUUUCAACUUUGUGAUACACUUUCAAAGAGUCGGAUUGUUUGGGAAUGCAGUCCAAAAUGGGUGGUAAAUUUCAUCUAAAGCUAAAUAUUGGCGAGAGACCGAUAGCGAACAAGUACCGUGAGGGAAAGAUGAAAAGAACUUUGAAAAGAGAGUUAAACAGUACGUGAAAUUGUCAAAAGGGAAGCGUUUGACACCAGUGUUGUUUUUCUGAAAAUCAAUUAAAGAACUGUUUAUGCUAAGCUUGUUUGAGACUUUAUCAGCUAUCUGUUUAGUUUUGAGCUUUUCUUUAAUGCACUUUUCAGUUAACAAGUCAACAUCAAUUUCUUUUGCUGUAAAAAAGCUUGAGGAAGGUGGCUUGAGAUUCGUCUUAAGUGUUUAUAGCCUCUUGCCUAUGCAGUCGGAGAGAUUGAGGUCUGCAGCGUAGAUCCUUCGGGGCUAAAUGCAUUUGUGCUAAGUUAUAGCAUUUUAUAGACAACUUGUUGACUAUGAUUUGUCUUGUAGCUUACUCGCUUAUGUUAUUUUACCUACGCUUAGGAUGUUGACGCAUGAGAUAUACGC